rnacentral:rRNA from 1 species
UACGUAGGGACCGAGCGUUGUCCGGAAUCAUUGGGCGUAAAGAGCGUGUAGGCGGCUUGCUAAGUCCUGCGUGAAGUCUCGGGGCUCAACCCCGAGCGGUCGUGGGAAACUGGCAGGCUAGAGUGCGGGAGAGGAGAGUGGAACUCCAGGUGUAGCGGUGAAAUGCGCAGAUAUCUGGAGGAACACCCGUGGCGGAGGCGGCUCUCUGGAACGCAACGUGACGCUGAGACGCG